GUCUGAAAAGGCUGGAAUGGCAGCAUGGCAAAGGAUCUGUAGCCUCAGGAGUGAUGUGUGGAGAAGGCUUUACCAUGAGCAGUGAAGAAUGGAGACCACAUCGACCAGAGAUGAAUGUGGUACAGAAGAGAUCUGUUAUUUCAAGAACUGUUAGGAAUGGACAGGCAAGGACACGUCAAUUCACAGCCUGUGCAGAGCAAUCCAGAGCAGCCUGGAUCCACAAGGUCAUCUGAACACUCACGACCAACAUGAUGGAGGUUAUCUCAGAGUCCACCGGCACUUGUGACAAAUUAAUUUAUUUCAAAUCAACACAUGAAGACUGAAGCCAAUUGAACAGUACUGCACUUGACCAAACUACAGUUGAGGAGCGCCCAGACUUGAGCAAAAUGACAUCAUGUCUUGGACACAGUACAGCCAUGUGUUUGCAGGUUCCAAGGAUCAUAUUCAUCAGGGAAAGACACUUUA